UGCNAGUCGAACGGUGAAGCAGAGCUUGCUCUGUGGAUCAGUGGCGAACGGGUGAGUAACACGUGAGCAACCUGCCCCUGACUCUGGGAUAAGCGCUGGAAACGGCGUCUAAUACCGGAUAUGAGCUGCGAUCGCAUGGUCAGCAGUUGGAAAGAUUUUUCGGUCUGGGAUGGGCUCACGGCCUAUCAGCUUGCUGGUGAGGUAAUGGCUCACCAAGGCGUCGACGGGUAGCCGGCCUGAGAGGGUGACCGGCCACACUGGGACUGAGACACGGCCCAGACUCCUACGGGAGGCAGCAGUGGGGAAUAUUGCACAAUGGGCGAAAGCCUGAUGCAGCAACGCCGCGUGAGGGAUGACGGCCUUCGGGUUGUAAACCUCUUUUAGCAGGGAAGAAGCGAAAGUGACGGUACCUGCAGAAAAAGCGCCGGCUAACUACGUGCCAGCAGCCGCGGUAAUACGUAGGGCGCAGGCGUUAUCCGGAAUUAUUGGGCGUAAAGAGCUCGUAGGCGGUUUGUCGCGUCUGCUGUGAAAUCCCGAGGCUCAACCUCGGGUCUGCAGUGGGUACGGGCAGACUAGAGUGCGGUAGGGGAGAUUGGAAUUCCUGGUGUAGCGGUGGAAUGCGCAGAUAUCAGGAGGAACACCGAUGGCGAANGCAGAUCUCUGGGCCGUUACUGACGCUGAGGANCGAAAGGGUGGGGAGCAAACAGGCUUAGAUACCCUGGUAGUCCACCCCGUAAACGUUGGGAACUAGUUGUGGGGUCCAUUCCACGGAUUCCGUGG
rnacentral:rRNA from 1 species